rnacentral:tmRNA from 1 species
GGGGACGACAUGGUUUCGACGGGGGUGGCAAAGCGGAUGGGGGCAUGCCGGGAUCUCAGACCCCCGUUAAACACUGAAUCGAUUUAGUCGCAAACGACGAAAACUACGCACUAGCCGCUUAAUCCCGGUUGGUCGCUGCUCUGAUCUGCUCAUGGGUCAGGCCGGGUAAAACCGGCAGCAGCGUUAUUUACAUGAGAUCGCUGUUCGGCGGGCUACUUGUCGGGCAGUUAAAUUUAGGUGGCUCGCGGUUGUAAAGCCUGUCGGUCGGCGUUGCACCCGUUAAAACCAAAUGGCUAGACUAAGCAUGUAGAUCCCUCUGUGGAGUGCUUUCGGACGCGGGUUCAAUUCCCGCCGUCUCCACCA